rnacentral:tRNA from 1 species
GCCGGAGUGGCGGAAUUGGCAGACGCGAUGGAUUCAAAAUCCAUUGGGAGUAAUCUCGUGAGGGUUCGAGUCCCUCCUCCGGUAC